UAAGAUUAUUUAUCAAAAUGAAAGUAAUAAUAUAUUAUAUUCUAUAUAUGUUCUUUAUUUGUAAAUUAAUUUAAAUUAAUUUAAAAUGUAUCAAUUGUUAUUACCUUUCUGGUGGAUUUGCUCUGUAGCCGCUGCAGCUUGCUCUCACUGAUCAGGCGUCUCUGCAUGGGGAUGAGGUCUGCUUCUUUUCUCACGAGUUCUAGGAGCACAUACAAAGAAAGGUUGUGGGACCCCUGGGCCUUUUGCAUGUUCAUACUGGUGUGCCAACCUUCAACCUGAAAAAUCCGGAUGGACUGGUUGAAGGUGCACCAGGAUGACACAGGCCAGGUGUUGUUGUCGAUCCACGUCCGGGUGACAUAGUUGACGACUUCCCUCAAGGGCCCUUCCUCCCCCACAGAGUUGCUUACGCGCUGAAAAGCUGGAACGAUGUGGGAGGAAGGGCCAUCAGGUGCCGGACACACUUGUUGACAUCGUCCCGCUCUCGUUCGUUCUCCUGGACUUUGCUGAAUACUGCCUUAGACAAGUGGAAUACGCAACCACGGAUCCUGGCCUCGGGGAAGACGUCCUUCAGUCCCUUCCAGAUACCACACUUUAAGUCAGCUGUGAAUAGCUCCACUGCAG